GUAAUAUCAAUUGAAGAUAAGAAACUAAUAUUGUGUUCGGGUUCAUAUUUCUUAUUGUCUUCUUAACGUUUUCUAUUAUUUAAUAUAGAAGAAGAUGAGAAGAAUACUGUCAAAGUCUUACCGUUCCCCUUUUCAUUUCUAGGAGUCUCUCUUGACUCUAGCAAUUCCACUAUUUCUUUCUUGGAAUCAUUUUCAUUGUUGUAUGGGAAGAGUAUAUCUAUUUUGGCAUUAAAGAUCUGCUUCUUUCCUUUAAUCGUCUCUUGCUUCUCCUGUAGUCUAUGCUGUCACAGGCUUCCCACUUGUCUCUAUGUCACUACCAAUCACUUUGUUUCAAGACUGAGACAUGGAUGCAUACCCUUCUUUUUUCAUUUCAAUGCCUUGGAGUCAUCUAUGGUCAAUUAAGUUCAGCUCCUCUAUAUGUGUUUGGGACAGUUCAUCAAAAAGAGUUUGUACAGAUGAGACAACUUAUGGCCUUUUUUCCUUUAUUUUCUGGACUAUGACCAUCAUUUCUUUGCUGAAAUAUGCCCUUUUAGUAUAGAGAGCUGAUGAUGAUGGAGAAGGUGGUACUUUUGCUUUGUACUCAAUCUUAUGCAGGCAUGCCAAAGUGGGUUUGCUCCCAAGUGACACAAGUGCAAAGGAAGUUAUGCAGUAUGAGGAAGAAAGUCCUUUUAAGACCAAGGUGGAAUCCAGGGCAAGAAGAGCCAUUGCCAAACACAAAAGCAGCCAUUAUCUGAUGUUGUUCUUGGCUUUGUUCGGUGCCUGCAUGGCAAUUAGCGAUGGAGUUCUUACUCCUUCUCUUUCUGUGUUAUCAGCUUCAACAGGUUUUGGAAGAACAUUGGCUUCAAUCAAAUUUUCACAUUCAGAACAUAUACAGGAGAGAAUCUCAAAAGCUUUAAAAGAAUGGGAUUUUCAAAGUAUAUGAUUUCGGGAAAUGAAUUGGCCUAUGUAUAGCCACUGCCCUUUUACAAAAUUUAACAUCAAAGCAUUGUUGCAGCUUUGUUUUCAGCUUCUGGAAUGCGUCUUAGAAUGCUAUCCCAAUGAGGUUGCUUCCUUGAUGAACUCCUUCUAUAUGGAAUCUGUGAAGCUGUUGAUGGAGAGAAGGAUCCUCAUUGCUUGUUGCUAGCAUUUGACAUCAUUCAUGCACUGAUUCAACUAUUUCUAGAUCCUAAUGGGCCGCUAGAAAAUUUUUCUGGAGAGCUUUUUGAAACUUUGAGCAGUUACUUUCCCAUUCAUUUUACUCAUCCAAAAGGAGAGAACACUGAUGUCAAAAGAGAUGAUCUUGCAAGGGCUCUAAUGGUAGCUUUCUAAUAAACACCUCUUCUUGAGCCAUAUGUCAUUCCCUUGCUUCUUGAAAAACUCUCUUCUUCUCUGCCAUCAUCAAAGGUUGAUUCUUUGAAGUAUCUGAGCUAUUGCUCAUUGAAGUAUGGAGCAGACAGGAUGGCCAAACAUGCUGGAGCUAUUUGGAGUUCAAUUAAAAGUGAAAUAAGUACUUCAGUAAAAGAGCCUACUGAAGGUGUUACAUCAGAAUCAAUAAAUGGUCUUGGGUUUCAGGAAAAUGAAAUUGCAGCAGAAUCUUUAGUGGAUAUUUACUUUAGAGCAUUGUUUUGCAGUAAAGAGCUUGCAGAUUUUGGCUACAUUUCCCGAAGGUCAUUUACCGAUAUCAAAAAGUAUAUUCGAGAAUAUUUUGACAUCACUUGUGUCAAUUAUCCUGGUGGAUUUCAAACAGAUGCUGUUUUGGAAGCUUGCCGUGAAGGCAUUAGUUCAUAUUGGCUCUUUCAUCAGUAAAUGUAAUGAGUUGGAGAAGGCACUGAGCUAUACAAGUAUUGUUGUUGAAAAAAUUGUUUCAUCACUGUCUAGUGAUAAAUUUACCCUGCCUUUUCUACUCAAACUGGAAGUGGUAUCUGAAUUAGGUGCAAGUGGACAGAAUCAUAUGCUGAUGAUUGUUCAAGGGUUGGAAGGGGCUAUAUUUGCUAACCUUGAUGAUUUUUUAGUCCAUGGGAAUAAAAAGUCUGCUGAAUUAGCAAUUCAACUUCUGCAAUGCUAUUCUGAAAAGGUUAUUCCGUGGUAUGUAUUCAGUCUAAUGUUCCAUGAUAUUAGUAGAUUGCAGUGUAUGUGUGACAUACACUUGCUCUUGUCCCAGUGUAUGUGUGACACCAAGGCUCCGUUUACUAAUUUAAAUGAAAAUAAUUAGAAAAAAAAGAUUGUUUACAGUUAUUUCAAUGAUUAUUUUUCCUUUUCUGCUAGGAUUGUUCUUUUUAUUUCACGAGUUUAAAUAAAAGCUGUUGUUCUCUUUAAAAAAAUGUCAUGUUUACAGAGGAUAAUUGUUGAUCUUAUGGCUGUAGCAGAGUGAUUUCUUUUGCAUUUUCAAUUCUUUAAGAUGACUCUGCACUCAUCAAGCAGACUUCUAGAAUAGUAACCUUGUAUGCAAAUGGAAUCUCAUAUGUUGUUUCUUGUAACUCAAUUUUUCCAGACAUAUGUUGUCUUGCUUUGCAAUAGUAAAGGUAUUCUUAAGGGAACAGGCUUCUUAAGACACUAUGUUCUGUCUUGCUAAUGACAUAUAUGUCUCAAAAAAAAUUUCUGCUCAUAUUUACAACUUUUGCUUAAUAUAUUCUACAUAUAUUUAUAUGUGUAUAUAAUCUUUUGGGUUAAUAGCUGGAACUAGAAAUUAAUAAAAACUAGCCUGGUUCUGAAAAAUGAGUAGCAGAUCACUCUAUUAAUCAUAGACCAAUAAGGACUCUACUCCUAGCAAAACCUCUAGGACUGGCACUGUUUUUGUAGCUUGAUCUAAUC